CGCAGGUCACAGUUUGCCUCCACUCACUCCAACUCCCCUUCCACCCCCCCAGCCUCCCUCCUUCCGACCUGGAAUGGCUUUGUAGGAAUAACACAAAGCCUGGGAAGUGCUUUCCCCGUGGGACGGCGCGUUGUUUACCUCUGUGUUUCUUGGAAGGGAGUUUAACCUGCCUGCUGUCGGUGAGCUGUCCCUGGGCGUCCCGUGGCAGGGCUGCCCACCCUCGCAGCCUCCCAGGCUCUGAUUCCCCACCUGCACGGCCAGGGUGUCUGCCUGCAGACCGGCCUGGCCUGAUCCGUGCUCCGGGAGCCCCACGCGGCCUGGGGACCCGGGGGUCCCACCCCCUCCCACAUCGGAGAACAGUCGGGACGCAGCCGUCAGGCGCAGGUUUCCUUCAUCCUGAAACUGGGAGUCGGGAGCCUGGCUGGGGAGGGAGCCUGUGGGAACCCCCUAGGGGACGCAGGGGCGACCGCACCGCCUCCAGCAGGGGUUUUAGGGACAGAAGGCUUCCCUGGCAAGGGCAAGGGUGUUCCCUUUAGACAUCGCAGAAGCUCGCCCCCUAAGAUCUGAAAAGCCUCUGUCCCCCAGACCUGAAGGCACCUGCCAGUGGAAAAGCAAGCUGGUGUUUUCUGUGCUGCCUGCUUGCAAAUUCCUUCUCUCCCCCCCUGCCCUCUCUGUUCUCUCUCUCUCUCCGUGUCUCCCUGCGCACACACACAUACACACACACAGACGCUCUGAGAAGUAGCCAAGACCAGGGACACACACCCCAAGGCUCUUGGCAACCCUUUCUUUAACCACAGACAAGUCAAAACUGGUGGAAUCUUGGAAUCCGUGGAGGACACACUGUUUCCUUGCGAGGUGGGGUCUGAAAGAACCCCCCCCCUCAUCGUGAGCCAGCGAGAGGAGGUCUGUAGCUGGGUGAGGAAUGAAAGAUUUUUUGAACAACGGACGGCCCUGUGCCUCUAGGAUGCAGCAUCGGCCCUGAGUUCAUGGAGAGCCGGUGGGGACGUGGGCCGCUCAGCGGGUGACUCAUCGGCCAGGCUUCUGGGGACGCUCGCGGGUACUUCUGCAGCCAAAACCAGCUCUGUGUGGCUGAACAAUGCAUACCAUCCUCUGAGCUCGGAGCCGGUCAGAACAGUCAUGUCAAGGACCACUGACCAGGGGUCAGCAUGACAAGUAGCAUCAUCUUGAGAACGUGUGACAUACGGCGAGAAUUACCAAAAUGUGACACAGAGACACGAAAUGAGCAAAAGCUGUUGGAAAAAUGGCGCCAAGAGACUUGGUGGCCCCUAACCUUUCAUGUACGAGAAACGCAGCGUCUUUGCAGCACCACCAGACAAGCUCUGCCCGCAAAUGCGUGUCAGCAUUCAAUCAACGCACCUUAGCGUCUUCCUUUUGUAGCAGUGAUCUGAAUUUCAAUGUGCCUUUCAAUAUCAUUUUAUUUUAUUUUUCUCCGUAUGGAGGUUCCCAGGCUAGAGGUUGAAUCGGAGCUGCAGCUGCUGGUCUACACCACAGCCAUCACAGCAUGGGAUCCGAGCCCCGUCUGCGACCUACACCACAGCACAUGGCAACGCCAGAUCCCUAACCCACUGAGGGAGGCCAGGGAUCAAACCCAUGUCCUCAUGGAUACUAGUUGGGUUCAUUACCGCUGAGCCAGGAUGAGAACGCCUCGGUGUCAUUUAACUUAAAUGUUUUCUUUAAUGAAAUUAAUUUUAUUGAAUUUGAAUUUAAUUUUGUAAAUUAUAAAAUAUUCCCCUUACACCAGCGAUGCACAGAAGACUAACAGGGACAGCUGGGUCCCCGACCGGCAGGUUUAUCAGAGUCUGCCUUUCACUUUGUUUCCGAUCCUCUGUGUGUGUGUGAAAUGAUGCAUUUCUGCUGCCCGUGCACGGCGCUGUCUCCGUCUCCUUGCGUGAGCACACGAGACGCUCACAAGAGCCCGUCGGUCCCCAGGGGAAGUGUCCAGCAUUGUUUUCCGUGGCUUCACGGCCCCGCAUCUCUGCACUCACCGUCUAGAAGGUCUCUUUUCUGUUCUUAUUUCCAACGCCCAGAGGAUGCUUCAGUUUAAAACGGAUGAUCUAAGGAAAUGGCAUGCUUUUCUCUCUCGGCCGAGGAACGUUGUGCCGUGGAAAUUGGGAGCGUGGCAUCCGCGGCAGCGGGUUGUCUUUGAGGCGAGCCCCGCUGGUACCUCUGGGGGCACCUGUUUCUGAAGCCUGGGCGGCGUCUGGGUGUCUGUGAAGUGGUUAUAGAGGAUGAACCCAAACCUCCUGUGGAGCACAGGGGAGUCAGCUCCAUGGUUUUUUGUAGCCUCUUUGGGGAAGAAGAAUGUGUGUAUUUAGAGGUAUGGCUGAUUCCCUCUGCUGUACACCUGAAACGAACACAGCAUCGUACGUCAACUCUUCUGCAAUAAAAUGAAAAGGAAAAAUAAAAGAAAUGGUCCCAUCUGGAUCCGAAGUGGUUCACAGGCUUCUUCGCCAAAUCUCCAGAGUCGGCUCCUGGGGAGCUGCUCCUCCUGUGUGUCCCCUGCACUUGGCAAGGUGGGGAAGAGGGUGGAGCACAUCGCACGUGACAGUGACCCAGGAUGUAGGCUAAGACCCCUGGGAUCUCUUGAUGAAAACCCUCACUGCUGUCCUGUCUUGGUCAUGGAGACUUCCUCUUGGGAUGAAGAAAUGCAAUUGGGGGAGUUCCCAUUGUGGCUCAGUGGCUUAAGACCCAGCGAUGUCUCAGUGAGGAUGCGGGUUCGAUCCCUGGCCUUGCGCAGUGGGUUAGGGAUCCGGCAUUGCCACAAGCUGCAGCGUUGGUCGCAGAGGUGCCUCGGAACCAGCGUUGCCAUGGCUGUGGUGUAGACCUGCAGCUGCAGCCCCGAUUUGACCCCUAGUCUGGGAACUUCCAUAUGCUGCGGGCACUGCCCUGAAAACACAAAAAGGAAAGGAACAGAAAUGCACGUGGGGAGAGUUCUCUCAAUCGCAUUUCAGGAUCAUAGUUUUCAGUCAGCGGGAGCAGGCGUUCGGGAUGCUCCCACGCGUUCCGAGGCUUUGGAAGACCGUCCGGGGUAACGAUGCUGCGGUGGAUGCAGAGAUCUCGGGGCGGGGCGGGCCUUCCACCCACGGCAAGGAAGGAAAUGUUGCAGGAUUAUAGCAUUCGAAACAGAACAAGACAAACCCCAACGUACUGUCCAUGCCUGGUUGCCCAAAAAGUGACCUCUUCCUCCCAAGAUGCCAUUUCUGUCCCUUUUUUUUUUUUCAUACACAGGCAAGUGAUCCAUUCCAAAUGCCAAAUUCCAAAUUUGAUGGAAUAAGAAAAUUCCAUUGAUGAGUCGCAAGGCCAUCAUGCAAUUAGCUGUUAUGAAAAGACUCCCUGUUGCUUUUUUUUUGGGGGGGGGGAAUUAACAUCAAAGAUAAUCCACGCUUGUCUGGAAAGGCUAUCAAAAUACUCCUCUGAUUUCCAGCGACGUGUUGGUGGGAAGUUAGGUUUUCUUCGAAAGAAACCACAUAUUGCAACAGAUUGAACACAGAUAUCAAUAGGAGAAUCUGGCUCUCUUCCCCUGAAACUGUACGUUGGCAAAAACUUAAGACAUUUGCAAAAAAAAAAAAAAAAAA
rnacentral:lncRNA from 1 species